CAAUAGCGUAUAUUUAAGUUGUUGCAGUUAAAAAGCUCGUAGUUGGAUUUCGGAUGGGAUCUGCCGGUCUGUCUUUGAGAUGUGUACUGGUAGGUCCUAUCUUGUUGUCGGGGACCAGCUCCUGGGCUUCACUGUCCGGGACUGGGAGCCGACGAAGUUACUUUGAGUAAAUUAGAGUGUUCAAAGCAAGCCUACGCUCUGAAUAUAUUAGCAUGGAAUAACACGAUAGGACUCUGGCUUAUCUUGUUGGUCUGUGAGACCAGAGUAAUGAUUAAGAGGGACAGUCGGGGACAUUCGUAUUUCAUUGUCAGAGGUGAAAUUCUUGGAUUUAUGAAAGACGAACUUCUGCGAAAGCAUUUGUCAAGGAUGUUUUCAUUAA
rnacentral:rRNA from 1 species